GGUACCGGCUCGGCUCGACUCGACUCGACUCGACUCGUUUUGGUACCAGGUACUUCGUUUUCCACUGCAGGUAGUACCCACGUCAAUGUAGCUGGUCGUCAUAGCGACGCCGCAUGAAACUGCCGUUUCUGACCAAUCAGUGGUCUGUAGUGUUUUUACGUCACCUUUUGGCAUCGCCUCAGCUUGCUGGGAACCUCGACAGAGGUGAUACCAAAAAAGUACCAGGUACUAUCCACAACUUUUGCCUGAUGGAAAACCAAAAAAGGUGGUGAGUGAGUAGAGAGAAGUCAAGUUGAGCCAUUACCAUGCGGUGGAAAAGCAACUUGAGUGUUUCUUUUUUAAUUUUGGACGAGAGGCGAGCUGGGAGAGUGGCUGUCUCCGGGCUCAUGAGUGUUUGGACGAACAAGCGCCUAAUUUGUGAGCGGGCGGCUGCGGAGAUCGGAACCUGGCAGUGGCUGCGAGCAAGGCGGGAGAGUCGGUAUCCCCUUCGGGGCUGACAAACGGAGAGCGGCGGUGACUGCAGAGUGGGUCGGCACGGCUGAGUUGGUGGAGCCGGAGAGUGGUGCAAGGCUUUUGCUUGAGGAGAUCACUCCCCCAGACCAUAAGGAACGUGUUUCCGGCAAUCCUAACAAUGUGUGGGUUCAAAGCCAGUGUGAGCCGGGAACUGAGCGGCAGUGGGUGUGUCCAUCCCCCCCCCCCCCUGUCCUACAGUCGGUGAGGCCACAGGACACCGACUUGAGAGGAGAGAGUGGUAACUGCAGACUGGUGAGAUCCUCUGUCCGAUUUGUGUCCCUGUUUUUAUGAAUUGUAAAGCUCAAUAAAACGUGACCUUUGUUCUUUA